GGAGAUAGUUUAAGAAGACAGGACUAAAUGGUCAAUUGCAUGUUUGCUGAUGACCAAUUAUCCUGUUCCCGGUCCCUUGGGAAGGACACGACUGUUUUUGUCAGCCAUAGACAAUUAAGUUUUUUCUGCCAAUUCAAUUAUGAUCGAAUGGAAAUAUACCACUCACAGAACACAUUAUUCAGAAAGGAUUGUUCCACCAGGACGGCAUGUUAGCAGAUCAUUUCUGGUAGAGGCUAUAACCAUUAGCUUAUGAUGUGUCAGAGGGUUGAACAAGGCAUUAACGACAGCUCAAGAAAAUGCAUAUUGUUUUCAAAGAAGAUGAAAGAGCAGACGUUCAAAUGACAUUGAUUGUGAUAAUCACAGUGAUGGAUUGUGCAGCUGCUUCAGCCUCAGGACCUCGAUAGCAACCAGCAACGAGAAAGAGACCAGGGGGGCAGGAAUGGACUCAAAGUCACCAGGGUUCAUCAACGGGAGGAAAGGAAGGCGCAUGUGGAUGGGAGGCAAGACUGAUGAGGAAGAGAAAGAUGGUAGAGGAUGAUUGAUAGUUGGGAGGCGUGGCCAACAGCAGAAAGCAUUUUAUAGCAGCCGUAGCAGCAGCAGCACAGGACACAGGUCAGAGUACAACAGUUACCACGACGACUAAGGAUACGAGUGGUACUCACUUGAUUAGGUUGGCCCUGCAUCAUCCCGGGGUUGUGUUGAGGCUGUGAAUGGGGGGACGGCUGGGAAGCUGGAGGCUAGCAAGACAACGGGCACGUCAUUAACGUGUCACAGCAUACAACAAGUGUCGACAAGACAACAGUAUAGUUGUUAAAGUGUCAUAGCAUACACCAGGAAUUAGCGUGUCAUAGCCUACAUUGUUGUUCGUCACCUAACAGGUUCACUGAUGUAUAUCUGCAAGAUCUGUUCAAAUGACUACUACAAGUCACUCAUAAUUUGUGUGUCAUAACCUACAUCAUUGUUCGUCACAAAAACAGGUUCACCAUCACUUAUUAGCAAGAUCUGGUUCCAUGACUACUGUCAACACAGUUCAAAGGUCAAGUAAUGAGUGGUCAGAAUGUCAGAUAUAGCCACAGUUUGAAUCAGACAUGUUGAACAAAAUAGUGUCAUCAACAGUGUACAAACCAUUUUUAUCAAGUAAUAUUUUACUUUUAUGUCAAAUGAAAGGGGAUGAUAAUCAAAAUAUUUUGAAAUACCGAUAUAUGUCACCAAUACAACAAUGUAUCACCAAGACAAUUUGUCAUUAAUGAGACAACUGUCUUCAGUUUCACUCAACUGGUGUCAUAAAGACAACCCUCACCAGUUACAAAAGUACAUUCAAAUAAAAUGUCUCUUAUUAUCAAAGUCUUGGGAAAUGUGUUCAAACUCCACAACAUUUCAUUUUGCCUUCAUUAUAUUGAAGUCAAUCCCUUUUUACUGACUUCACUGGCAAUAAAGAAUCUGAUUGCAACAAUUUUGUCCAUGGUCACCUUAAUGUUUGUAAGCAAGUGAGUUGGCAUCUUGAUUACCAAAAGUUUUGUCACAAUGCCAAGGUGAUUAUGUGUGACAGAAACAUAACUCCACCAUCACCAUAAUGUUAGAAAUUGAUUGUAAAAUUAGUGUCACUACAACCCUUGUAAGAGACUGCAAUAUCAUUGUCAUUAAAAUGUUUGUCACAGGUAUGUCCCUAUCAAUGCUAUCAAGAAAGUCACAUAAAGUCGGUAUGUCUGUCACUUUGCUGAAUAACUGAAGUGAAACAACUAGGUAUACAACUGUAUAUAACUUGUUCUACUGUCCUGUCUUAGUGUGGGCAAGUAAUAUUCAUGCAAGCUGCUAUCAAGCUAUCCGUUAUUGUGUGUAAUGUACUGUUACCGUAACUGACAUCACUAACAAGAUGGCACACAGAUAACGCAUGGACUUGUAGCAGCACUUUAUACAGGGCAUGCCAACAUUAUAAGACAGGACAGACAAGAGCUCUAUCAUGCGUCUCCGACGUACGACAGGGUAGACAGAUGUCAUCAUGCAUCGCCUACAUACGACAGGAGAGACAGAAGUCAUCAUGCGUCGCCUAAGAGUGUCUGCAGGCUGUGUGUUUUGAAUUUCUGAUAAUGUCAACUUCUACAGUGUUGCUAUAUAAUGUGCAUACAUAGUUCAAAUAACUUUUGUAUACGACAAAUUUUGACUGAAAUUUCAAAGUUAUCUAACAAACAGUAUAUUAUUUGCCAUUUCAUUCCCCACAUCAUCAUCCCUUCAUUUUAAGCUGAUGUACAUGUUUGAACAAGUAAAGCAAGUACAACUGAAUUUUUUCUAUGAACUGUUUCAUGAAAUUAAUA